AACGAACGCUGGCGGCAGGCUUAACACAUGCAAGUCGAGCGCCCCGCAAGGGGAGCGGCAGACGGGUGAGUAACGCGUGGGAAUCUACCCAUCACUACGGAACAACUCCGGGAAACUGGAGCUAAUACCGUAUACGUCCUUCGGGAGAAAGAUUUAUCGGUGAUGGAUGAGCCCGCGUUGGAUUAGCUAGUUGGUGGGGUAAUGGCCUACCAAGGCGACGAUCCAUAGCUGGUCUGAGAGGAUGAUCAGCCACACUGGGACUGAGACACGGCCCAGACUCCUACGGGAGGCAGCAGUGGGGAAUAUUGGACAAUGGGCGAAAGCCUGAUCCAGCCAUGCCGCGUGAGUGAUGACGGCCCUAGGGUUGUAAAGCUCUUUCGCAGGUGAAGAUAAUGACGGUAACCUGAGAAGAAGCCCCGGCUAACUUCGUGCCAGCCGCCGCCGUAACAC
rnacentral:rRNA from 1 species